rnacentral:rRNA from 1 species
UACGUAGGGCGCAAGCGUUGUCCGGAAUUAUUGGGCGUAAAGAGCUCGUAGGCGGCUUGUCACGUCGAUUGUGAAAGCCCGAGGCUUAACCUCGGGUCUGCAGUCGAUACGGGCUAGCUAGAGUGUGGUAGGGGAGAUCGGAAUUCCUGGUGUAGCGGUGAAAUGCGCAGAUAUCAGGAGGAACACCGGUGGCGAAGGCGGAUCUCUGGGCCAUUACUGACGCUGAGGAGCGGAAGCGUGGGGAGCGAACAGG